AGAGUUUGAUCAUGGCUCAGAACGUACGCUGGCGGCACGCCUUAUACAUGCAAGUCGAACGAAGUAGCAAUACUUAGUGGCAGACGGGUGAGUAACAUGUAGGUAUCUUCCCUUUGGUGAGGAAUAACACGAGGAAACUUGUGCUAAUACCUCAUAAGUCUUUACGGAGAAAGCUUUAUGCGCCAAAGGAUGGGCCUGCACUUGAUUAGUUUGUUGGUGGGGUAAUGGCCCACCAAGACUUUGAUCAAUAGCUGAUCUGAGAGGAUGAUCAGCCACAUUGGGACUGAGACACGGCCCAAACUCCUACGGGAGGCAGCAGUAGGGAAUAUUGCACAAUGGAGGAAACUCUGAUGCAGCGAUGCCGCGUGAGUGAAGAAGGCCUUUGGGUUGUAAAGCUCUUUCGUCGGGGAAGAAAAUGACUGUACCCGAAUAAGAAGGUCCGGCUAACUUCGUGCCAGCAGCCGCGGUAAUACGAAGGGACCUAGCGUAGUUCGGAAUUACUGGGCUUAAAGAGUUCGUAGGUGGUUAAAAAAGUUGGUGGUGAAAUCCCAGAGCUUAACUCUGGAACUGCCAUCAAAACUUUUUAGCUAGAGUAUGAUAGAGGAAAGCAGAAUUUCUAGUGUAGAGGUGAAAUUCGUAGAUAUUAGAAAGAAUACCAAUUGCGAAGGCAGCUUUCUGGAUCAUUACUGACACUGAGGAACGAAAGCAUGGGUAGCGAAGAGGAUUAGAUACCCUCGUAGUCCAUGCCGUAAACGAUGUGUGUUAGACGUUGGAAAUUUAUUUUCAGUGUCGCAGCGAAAGCAUUAAACACACCGCCUGGGGAGUACGACCGCAAGGUUAAAACUCAAAUGAAUUGACGGGACCCGCACAAGUAGUGCAGCAUGUGGUUUAAUUCGAAGAUACGCGCAGACCUUACCAACACUUGACAUGUUCGUCGCGACUU
rnacentral:rRNA from 1 species